GUACAGCGCGGGUGCAGCUCCCCUGGGGGGAGACGUGGCUACUCUCCGGAGCCUGGGCCAUGACUCCUGCUACUUCUUUCCUACCUGGAGACACAGAGAUGCCCCUUUUCCUGGCAGAGUAACAAGAAACUUAAAACCAAAGGAACAGGGUGCUGAAUAGAUCAUCUGGACUCUUCAGCCAUUUUUGUGAGGAACUACAACCCUAUAGAGGGGGUGUCAGUUGCUUUAAGGAGUACAGAGAGAGACACAGCGAGAGAGGGAACACAAGCAGGCAGAGUGGGAGAGGGAGAAGCAGGC